UAGGGAUGGUGGGAGUUGUAGUCCCGAAACAUCUGGAGGGCCGAGUUUGCCUAUGCCUGCGGUAAGUGAAUCCCAACAGAUUUUAUUUUUCCACCCUCCAAAUUAUCUCACCAUCGGAGGGUGAUAAGAGGAAUAACAAAUAAAGAUGGGUUUGACUCCAAGGUAUUUAUAUAUUGUUGUUGUUUAGUCGUUUAGUCGUGUCCGACUCUUCGUGACCCCAUUUAUAUAUAUUGUUUAGUAAUAAUAGUACCACAAUCUCUGUUCCGUCUCAGUCACAGCAGCUUUAGAUUGGGGUAUACCCUGUGAAUGUGAGCAAUUUCUAUGAGUAAAAGAUUUUCCAAGUUUGUUUUGCUGCCAUGUGGAUGGCUGCAUACAAGACAACAUCUGUACAUGCAUUUGUCUUGGAAGGCAACACUUUGUUUGAUAAUUAUUUUCAUUUUUUUCAAUAACAUUUGGGGGGAAAAUGUGGGGGAGAAAAUUAUACGUUGUAAUCUUUUAAAUCCCAGUAGAAAUGCUAAUUACUCCUCAGCUUUUCCAACAUAAGCAUUAAAGCCCCUUUCCAAUAAAGUCACUGAAUUUAAGUAACUAUUCUUCAUUAGCUAAGUUGCUGAAUAGUUAAGUCUUUCCAGAUAACAAUAACAACACUUGGGAUAAUAUAGACACUUAACAUUAUAUAAUUAAAUUAUUUCAUUUAACCUUUUAUAAUUAAAUUAUUUUUUGAUGUGUAACUUCAUGAUCAGAAUUUAUUAACCAUAAUUAAUAGUUCACAAUCUGUUUUCCUCAACACACACACACACACCAUCAACAUAAACAUACAUAUAUACACAUACACACACAAUACCCACUUGCAGAAAAAAAUAAACCAGUGAGUUAAGAUCUUAUCUUAAUAAUUGUAUAAUUUCAGUUUCCUAAAGACAAACAGCCAAACACAAUAUCAUAUUUCAUUAAUAAAUAAAGAAAAUCAUACCCUCCCUCCCAACACAUAUUGUUGGUAUUCCACAAAAGCAUAACUUUUGCUUAUCCACAGAGUUUGGGGGAGUAGAGACCCAAGUGUAAUUCUGAGUUCUUUGGAAAAUUAUAUUUAUUUUCUGCUUACAAUUGUCUGACUACUGAACAGAAGAUCAUCAUCUGAGUCCUUCAUUUCCUAGUAUGCAGCAUUUUGUGCUCUUAUUGUGCUGUUUGAGAGGACAGAAUUUGAAAGUUUUUUCAUCUGAUCUGCUUAGAUCCAGAAUCUCAUAGCCCAGAAAGGUGACUUUGGAAAGAGACAAUAUGUUAUUCCAUUGUAUAGCUCUGUCAGAAACUUGUGUUCCUUCAGUUAAAAUACAAAAUCAAGUGAGCUCUAGGGACAAACACUUUUAUCUUCCUACCCUGUCCAUUCAUGAGCUUUCUGUGGGCUCAUGAAACAGGAAACCUUGAAAAAGUAGAAGUGUGGCUGUAAUUGGGAUUAUUCUAUUUUUAGCUCGUGAAGCAAGCCGUCUGCUGUCCUGUCCAUGUCCCAGCAGAGGUGUUACAUAACUCUGACUUAAUUCUCUGUAUCUGCUGCUACAUCAACUUCCCCUUUCCUUUGAACUUUGCUUUUAAAAUAAAACAAAACACCAGGCCUUUAAUUUUUUUAACUCUUUACUUAACAGGAAUAUUAAGCAAUACAUUUACAGCAGCUCCUUAAGGGCAUUGUGAAGUUCUGAACAGAAAUUAACCAAAUGAUUGAAGAAACAAUACAAAACUCACACAACCUUGAUUAUCUAGCAGUAACUUAAAAUACGUUGGACACUCUAGUACUUCCAAAUUAAGAGAUUGCUGUAAUUUGCUCAUUCUAGAGUUGUCAUGUGUGUUUAGGGUGAAAGUGUAACAGACAAGUACAUGACCAUGAUUGUUCUUUGAUAUUCUUUUUAAGUGUCAUUGUGUUUCUUGCGUAGUUAAUCUGUGAAUCUGGAUGCUUAUGCUCAAGUUACGGCCUUUGUAGCCUGGCGAUUUUCCAGAUUCCAAGAAUGGAUAGUGCAUCUGGUUGGUGAGAUAAACCAAGGAUGUGCUCUUUAACCCACUCUGGAUUAACCAGGAGAAAGGGAAAGCAGAUGCUGAGCAGCAUAGGAGAAAUUUAGAAAAGAUGUGUAGUGUCAUCAAGGCAUCAUAAUGUCUAGGUCAAGCCCUUUUUAAGCUGAGUAUAUACUGUGGGGUUUUGGGUUUUUUUUAAAUUAAAUACAUUGUGGCAGAUUAGUUCAUUAUACUAGGCUUGUUGUAUAUGUACAAAGCUGAUUUGAGAUGAGUGGAGAGCUAAGAACAUAAGACGAACUUGCUGAAUCAGGCCAAUGGCCCAUCUGGUCCAAUAUCCUGUUCUCACAGGGGCCAACCAGAUCCCUGUGGAAGUCUGCAAGCUGGACAUGAGUGCAACAGAAUUCUGCCUGCCUGCAAUUCCCAGGAACUAUCUGGACCUUGAUUUUAGGGCAGGGGUCAGCAAACAUUUUCAGCAGGGGGCCGGUCCACAGUCCCUCAGACCUUGUGGGGGGGCGGACUAUAUUUUGGAAAAAAAAUAUGAACGAAUUCCUAUGCCCCACAAAUAACACAGAAAACACAUUUUAAAUAAAAGGACACAUUCUACUCAUGUAAAAACACCAGGCAGGCCCUACAAAUAACCCAGAGAUGCAUCUUAAAUAAAAGGACACUUUCUACUCAUGUAAAAACUUGCUGAUUCCCGGACCGUCCGCGGGCCGGAUUUAGAAGGUGAUUGGGCCGCAUCUGGCCCCUGGGCCUUAGUUUGGGGAAGCCUGUUUCUCUCAGUUGCUCAUUGCUCCAAUUUGUCUGUUCUUCACAUUUCCACAUUAGAUUGCAUUUUUUUCAAUGUAAAAAAAAAAUCCUCAUGAAUUCAUCAGCAUUGUCAUAUUUACAAUAUUUACAAUACUAGGUGGGUGUGCGUGUGUAUUAUAUAUAAUUUUGUAUACACUGUAUAUUGUAUAUUAUUUUGUAUAUAUUGUACAUAAUUUUCAAUAUAUACAAUAUUGGAUGUAAUUUUCCAUAAUACAGACAUUUUUGCAAGGCAGUUUACCAUAAUAUAACACAUUUUGAUACAUUAUUUUCAUUUUUAUGCACAUUUUGCAUUAUGCAUUUCUGUGCACAUUACUUGGUCGGAAAGCUAUGCUACAAAAUUCAGAGAAGUUGAAUUUUGAAGGAUAGCUGGGAUUUGGUUCGCAUAUUCUCUUUGGAAAGUGUGGAUUGGGUAAUUCACCUUUAAAUUGAGUCAAAUUUCUCCCCUAACCCCACCAUGUCAGAUCACCUCGUGUUGUUAAAUCUCACUGUAAGAUUCACUGAACAUUCAUUCCCCUUUGAGGCUAUACCGGUAUGUCUUGCCAUGCAACUGCAAGGAAUGUGUGCAUGUUGAGAAUAUGUGGGGGGGGGGAGAUUUUACUUGAAGCAGUGGUUUUAAGAGGAAAUAAACAGAAUUCUAAUGUACUAGAACAGGUAUCCCCAAACUGCAGCCCUCCUGAUGUUUUGGCCUACAACUCCCAUGCUAACAGGACCAGUGGUUGGGGAAGAUGGGAACUGUACUCCAAAACAUCUGGAGGGCCGAAGUUUGGGGAUGCCUGUACUAGAAAAUGGAUUUCAAAACAUCAUUCAUCCUGCAGGUUUCAGAAAUAUGGUAAAAACUGUAAAAAUAAUUCUCUUGUUCAACCCCCCCCAUUUGCAUUGCUUACCCCUACCUUUUAUUGUGGACAAUAUAAGGAAUUGCAUGCUGCCUACACAAGGAUUAGGUGAAGUAGGGCCAAAGAACCCCACUGCAUACUGUACCUUCUUUUCUGAAUUAUUGCUUCUUGUACAUGUAGCUUAUGCCAAGGCCAUGAUCCUGUGCGCUGUACACACUGGGACUUCUAUCUGAAUAAACAUGCAUUGGACAUGAAGAGGUUAUAUGCAACCCUUGAAUUCAUCACAUUACUAUACAUAUCGCUAUUACCCUGCGUCUCCCAAGCAUCCCUGGGGGCAUGCCUCAUAGCAUGUGCUUGUGUCUUGAUCCCUUUUUCUCUUGUAUUUAUUCCAUGACUAAUGAAGCACAGAAUGUCAAGCAUAGAGAAAGGCUAUUUAUGGGCUACCAGUGCAAUCCCUGCAACUUCCAGUUAUGUUGUCAAGUGUACCUUCAUGUUACGAGGCAUCCCUGUGGUCUCUAUUCUUAGCAGCUAAUCAUGGAAAUAAUUCUCUUCAGCAUUACUGGCUUUUUGGCUUCAGAGGUUCGCCAGCUCUCCUGCUUACAGAGGCCAUCAGCUUCCUGUCAUUUGCCCCACCUGCAGAGUGAGUAACAUUACUAGAUAGCGUACCAUGGCCCACCCCAGUAUCUUUAAAGAGGCUCCCGUUUCUGAUGCUGUCACAUCCAUCAUGCUAAUACUAAAGGUGAUUACAGAUGGUGUAUGUUUUAUGUUUAAAAUGAAAUGUAGAGCAGUAAUAUCCUAUGAUGCCACAGAACACGAUUCAAACCCUCAAUUAAUUCCUUGCAUGUGAUUGCAUAAUUGUCUCUUUAAAAUGGAGGCAUAGGGUGCUGCAUUCUCUCAUCAAUGCUAGGACUUUGUGUUCCGUAUAUUAAUGCCUGCUGUUUAGUUCCACUCCUCAGUUUUAUCGCUGUUUGUUCCCGUGUGUGCAGUUACUUGUACUUGCUAAAAUAAGUGUGCAAGCAUUUUUACAGCAAUCCAAGAUGCAUGCUUUGUAAAACUCACUGUCAACAUAUUGAAAAUGAAUUCAAUACUGCCAGAUAACUUAAGGGAAUAAUAGGGAAUGAUUGAAUAAUAGGGACCAGGCCUUACAAAAAUGCUUAAUGUGAAAGUAGAUCAAAGUACUUUGGAGCUUGUAUCUCAUUAAGUCAGCAUUUGUCUGACUGUCUUAAAGUGUCACUUUUAGUGGAGUGGACUGAAGACAACAUUCAGUCUGAAAUCCCUUUACAGUGCCAGUAGUGCUCUAACUGCUUUAGAGAAGAGCUCCUUCACUUCAGCCUGAAGCAGAACCUGGCCUUGGAAGUACCAGAGCUUUGUAUCUCCCUAUUUAGUAUCACAUGGAAAUGGCUGGUAGGUGAGAGAGAUGACUCCUCACCAAGGACCUUUAGGAAAAUGGGGGAGCCUUAACCCCCUGUUAGAUGUGUUUGGGCCCAUAGAAAGCUAGCAGGGCAGGGUCAAGUGGACCUCCCAAAUUCCAAAAAAAGUUUCUGCUGUAGAAAACGCUCUGUUCAAUGUGUCUCACAUCCCAGCAGACUUGGGAAUGGAAUGGUGUGCAAAAGGGCCUCUGAAGAUGAUUUCAGUGCCAGGGUAAGCUCAUACCCUGGGCCAGGUUCAAGGUGCUGUUAUUAGUAUGCAAAGCCCUUAAUAACUUAGGACCAGUUUACCUACAAGAUCGCCUGACCCCACAUGUGCCCACUUGAUUGCUUCGAUCAGCGGAAUUGGCACUACUACAGGUGCCACAUAAAACCCAUUCCAGCAGCUGGAUCUUGGUGAAAUAAUAAUAAUAAUAAUAAUAAUAAUAAUAAUAAUAAUAAUAAUUUAUUAUUUAUAUCCCGCCCAUCUGGCUGGGUUUCCCCAGCCACUCUGGGUGGCUCCCAACAGAAAAAUGAAAUGAAAUAAUCUAUUAAACAUUAAAAGCCUCCCUAAACAGGGCUGCCUUCAGAUGUCUUCUAAAAAUCCGGUAGCUGUUUUUCUCUUUGAUAUCUGAUGGGAGGGUUUUCCACAGGGCGGGCACCACCACCGAGAAGGCCCUCUGCCUUGUUCCCUGCAACUUGGCUUCUCGCAACGAGGGAACCGCCAGAAGGCCCUAAGUACUGGACCUCAGUGUCCGGGCAGAAUGAUGGGGGUGGAGAUGCUCCUUCAGGUAUAAGUUCCUCCUUUACCUGAUUUGCUGCUUGAUGAGCUAGCUGCAUAUGAACCAGUUCUGCUUUGUAGUCAAUGAGGAAGAAGCAUAUUCCAUACCUGAUUUCAAAGUGGAUCACACAGCAAAGGGCAUCUGUUUUAGCAUGUGGUUUCCUUGUUGUGGUUUGGUCGUUCUGCUAGUAAUGCUAGUUUCACUGUUUGUACAGAGUCAAAACGUAAUGCAUUUAUUCUGUCUUUACCUCAUAAUGAAUUUUUUUUUCCUAUCGUGUGCCCUCUGUCCCUUCCAAAGCUACUAAUUCUUGUGGCUGCCCACAAAAUAACUCGUAAUUUUAGUACCUGUCUAGUAGUGUUGAAGACAAAGUUUUUAACAAUUUGAGGGAUACAACUUUCAUGCUCCCCCUCCCAAUAUUCAGUAAGAGAUUUUAUGGCUUUAACAAGAACCUGACCAAUCCCCCAUUGCCAUCUUGAAAGCUGGAGCUUGUUUUCCUCAUUUAACUCCAGCAGUAAAGUACUUUUUAAAUGCUUGCAGUGUUGGCAUUAGACUACUGCUGUUCCUCUUGGCUUUGCCCCCAUGCUGGGAAGAAAAGUAGGCCUUCUUCUUUUAAGGGUUGUGCGGAAGAGACUGCCUUUUAAAACACCACCCUACUAUUUUUGCUCUGUAGAACAAAAGCAGCCAUACCCCACAACUGUCUGCACUGUCUCUUUUUUGAGGCUUCUCGACGGAAACAGUGAUAAACUAUUUCUGGCUCUUCGAGCAGUAAUUUAAUACCAAACUACUGCUGGUCAAAUGUGAACCUUAGUCACAGAGAUACAUCCAGUUGUAGGUUUAGCAGUAAACUGAUGUAUACUCGCAGCAUGAACCUGCCCUCACUUGGAUGCUCAAAAUAAUCUGGGUGAGUGACAGACAUUGCAUGUCUGCUUAAAAAUCUUUUCUUUGUAAAUAUCAUUCACCAAUGCUGUUGCUGGCAUUCUCCCAUGUUGCAGCUUUUGGGAACACUGUAGUGCCUUUUACCCUGUAAUUUGUACAUUACAGGUUUCAUUCUAGUUAUAAAUAAAGAAAUAUGUGGGCAUGGUUCAAUUUUGGGAACAGUUUGUACUCGUAACACAUGUGAAGGCAGGCAGUCGUAUUGUGAAGCAUCCUCUGAUGUGCUGUAGCCUUCCUCAAAUGGAGUGUCCAGGAAGUUCUUGCAGCUCCAAUCCUUGGGGAAAGCUGUUAACAGUGAAAUGAGCCUCAAAUGGGUCCACACCAGUUUUAAGGUUACGGGGAUUCAAACCCUGUAGGCAUCUUCUGUACAGUACUGACUUUUCCAAGCAAAAAAAACUAAGCACAGUUUCUUUGUAGCAGGAACAAUGUUGCCUUUUAAAUACUUACUGCUGUUGUACUGCCUUACUAGUUCUUAAAAAAUAAUCCUUUUUAUUUUUAUCUUGGUAACAACGUUUCCUAGCCAAAUACAGACUCCCAAGUACCCAAACAGAAAUCCCCUCUCCCUUGCCCAAACCCAAUUAGUCACCAUUUAGCAUCCUAUUUAACUCAUCUGAAUAUGAAUAAAAUAAUUCUGCAUAUCAAAACAACAAGACAAAAGCUUGGAAGGGAAAGAGUUGAAAGAAAUGCUGCUGAAUCAAACACAUUAAGGAAGUUCACUCAGAACUCUUGGGAGUCUUGGAAGUGCCUUGUACUUUAUCGUUGUCCAGCACUACUCCUUUGCCUUGCCUCCACAUACAUUUUGAGCUCUGCAUCUCUGUGUGCACUGUUUUAGCAUUUGGAAGUUUGUUCUUGCAUGCAUCUGUGCACAACAGAUGUCACUUUCAGGCAGCGAAUAACUCUAAAAUAACUCUGUAAAGAAGAGGGAGGGGGAGAAUCACUGGAUUCUUCAGCUCUGCUAGAACAUCGAAAUUGUGCAGUCAGCCUUCCUGUACAAAUUUAAGGCUGGCAUGUUUCUGUUUUGAGGUGAUCACCAGAGCCUUUCUUUUAUCUAGUCUUUCAGAAUUACCACAACAUAGCAAAAUAUUCUGUCUUUCAUAUUCUGAUUUUCAAGAAUCCCUCCCCAAAUGGUCCUUUUGUCAUGCCUUGGUGCUCCUAAUGGUUUCCUCUCACAGCUGAGACAGGCCAUUUGAACUCCUGGCAAACUUAUCGGUGAGGCAGAAAGGGUUAACACACAGCUUGCUGCCAGGGGAACACACACCCCUGGAACAUUUUGGAGGGAAAACCAUUUGCUCCUCUCACCAUGCUGAAGUGAUUAGCCAUUGUAAGAAAAACCCUCUCCUGAGACACUGGUGACCUAGGCCUGCGGAGUUUCAUGCAUCCAGAGACAGGGUGUUUUUUUACCCCCACCCCAAAUUAACAAAUUUCCAAAAUGUAUUUGAGUGGAGUGUGGAAUGCUUGAGGUUUGCAGACAUUUGCAGAAAUGAAACGGUUAAAAGCACGUGCUCGGGUGUGUGCCUAAAAGCAACUGUCUUUUAUAAACUGCAUUGCCUUUGCUGCCCUUUGUGUUAAAUCAAAAAUUAUAUCGCAUGUGUCACUGGGAUGUGCACUAGUUUUUCUCAAAGAUUGGAAAACAUCUGCUUUGUGUUGCUUUAUAAACGGGAAUGAGCUGGUGGGGGUUAAUGACACGAAACUUUGCUCUGUUUUUAAGCUGUGCCUCUUCAAGAGAUGCUUGCCAACCCUAAAAAGAGUUAAGCUAGCAAGUGUAACUGGGAAAGCCACAUGAAGCUGACAAUGCGAACAUGAGAAAGGGGAAGCUUGGAAAUGAAGCAAAGAAACCAAGAUGAGGAGGGAGCGCAGAGAUAUGGGUGCUUAGCCUGGGAGUGACUUUCUCUUGGUUUGUCCGGCCCUGGUAUUGCUGGCAUUGGCUCUCUGGGGAAAGCUGCAGUUCUGCUGUUAAAACACAAGGAGCAGCCUGGAGAAUUUUGAGCUGCGUCACACAGCUCAGAGGGGGAGAGAGAGAGAGAGGGAAAGCAAGCUCUGUCGAUAGGUCUACUAGCAACAGCCCUGCUGCAGCAAGAGAGAGAGAGAGCUCAUGAAAGAGAAGUGAUAACAACAUUGGGAAGCAUGAUUCCUUUACCCAUACAGCAUAUUUUUUUAAAAAAAGAACCACUAUUUUGAAGCUUGUUUAGAACCAGCAGAUUUUGUCCACUGAUGAUACCGGAAAGAUGCAACGCAGUUAAUUCCGCAGGGGGGGGGGGCGUACAUAGGAAGGGUUAAUGGGAGGAAAAUUCUGGAAUGUUCUAUCCUGCGGCGGCGCAAACAGAGGGUUGAGGACUGCACAGGUGUAGAUGAACAGAAUUCGUGGUUCCUCUUUUUCCUUACGUACGUAUCAGAUUGGGAUGUGGGGUGGGGGAAUUGAACCGACUGUCUCGUGUGUGUGUGUGUGUGUGUGUGUGUGUGUGUGUGUGUGUGUGUGUUUGUUGGGGUUUCUUUCUGUCCCUAAACUCCACCCCCAGAACUCUUACACCCCAUGCUAUUUUUCUGUGGCUAGAUACUGUUGGCUGUGUCCUGCGUCACACCAAUGGAAUGAAGGUACAGGUUGUAAAAUUUCACUGCGUAGCUGUAAUGCAGAUUUGGGGAAGGAAGAGAGAACAGUAGUUUUUCAGAGGUUAAUAUCAAGGAGUUGGCAGGGGGGUUAAAAAGACAGUCUCUGGAUUUUUAAAUCUGAGGGACUGUAUCUGCAUAGUUCAGAAAGUGGUGAAUGAUGACGCAGUGAUCUUUGCCUAGCAUGUUCCUGGGUUUAAAAAGCAUCAGGGGGAACAGGUACACUGUGAAUCUCCAGGCCAGCUGAAAGGGACUGAGUUAAGAAGGGAAGAUAGCGUUUAGGAAUUAAAUGUCAUCAUUUUGGCGUUGGAAAGUUGUUUACCUUGCUCUCUCCGUGUCUCCAUGUUGGCAGUCUUCCAGCUCACAUGUGAUAGUCUUCCCUGUACUGCUGCAUCAUUAACUGAGUGCCUGAGCCUACACAUGAUUGGCUAGGGAGGGCUCUUAUUCUAAACACACAGUUCCAUUGGAGGGAGAGGCAGUGGCAGGUGAAAAGCUGCCUCAGAUUGGCUGGGGCCAGGAUAUCAAAUCUAAAUGUUCCAUUCCUCUUGCUUUAAAAGGGGGUCUGAACAAUUUGUGACUUAAAAUGUUGGCUGUUUGCUUCUCUCCACCCCUCCUUUUCCUUAAAUCAGGCAUUUUGGAAUGUGUCUGUGAUCUCAAGGCUGGUCAUUUAAAGAGAAAAGCAAAAAAGCAGGAACUUGAGUAUUGUGGAUUAGUUUAGUUUAUUACUGGUUCAAGUGACGCAGAAGGAAAAACAAAUAUUCUGUGACUCGAGUUGCAUCAGUAACAGGCGUGUUUCCGGCUGCUGUGAGACAAGCCACGAUGACGUGACAUUAUUAUAGGCUUCAGAAGAGACAACAAAAAAGAGGCUUUGGUGGGUAGCUAGAAAAAUUCUAACUAGACAGAGCUAUUUACUUGUAUUAUAAACUAUGUGGGGCAGUGAGAGUGCCUGCCACUUGUAUAUAUGUAAAAACCUGGACUAAACCAAAAACUGAAAUGUGUCCUAGGUUACGUCAGUGUAACCUCAAAGUCAGUGCUGUGAUGGGAUUGAAUGGCAACAGAAGAUAGUGGUAAGAUAUAUGAGGCUUUCUUUCUGUCAUUUUGUUUUGUUUUAAAAGGAGGGGAUGGAGAGUUCUAAGAUGGCUGGAGAACGAUAGGUGGACGGUCAAGAAGAAUAAACCACCAGAUCAAGCUGGGGAGCGGAGUGGGGGGGGAUGAGGACCCACCAUAUAGGUAGACAUAGUGCUUGCUUUAACCAUUUCAUGAGUCAGAUUUUCCAUUCUGGACUAUCCAAUAGCCAAUUCCAGUCAAACAUUUGUUCUGUUCUGGAGGAUGGGGUCUAUCUUCUCUUCUCUUUGGAACCUGCCAUGAAAUCCAGAGUAACUAGCAUUAUCACAUAACAUGAGAGGGUAAGUUUCUUGUGGCGUUUUCUCAUAAAAUGCUCCAAUGAAUUGAAGGGUUUACGAUGGUAAAAGGAUUUGUGUUGGUGACUCACCGGCAUAGAGAGAGUCAAGUACAGACAGUCAUUCGGCAGCAGUAUGCUGGCUUUGGAACCAGAUCAGAUGCAUUUUGAUUCUCCAUCUUAAUUUCUUUUAAAGUACUCUGUCUUCUCAAGUGUUGUUACAAGAUGUAUUCUCACCAGUAGGCUUUAAAAGCCCCAAGAAAGGUGAAUAUGCAUAGUCUUCUAUUCACAUUUGCUAGCUCAAAGGAGCAAGAGGCGGAGGGAAAGGAGAGAAAAAAUCAGGAAGCCAUUUCUGGAGGCAGACAUGAUGCGUGGAAGAAGGAAGGCAAGGAAACACAGCAAAUACACCCCUCCUAUAUUAUCCCCUCAUGCACACCUUCAUUUUUCCUUUCUUAUUUGCCAAGUGUUAUGCCUAAUUUGAAAUUCUUUCAUUGUAGGUGCAUCACUUCUCUCUCUCUCUCUCUCUCUCUCUCUCUCUCUCUCUCUCUCUCUCUCUCUCUCUCCCUUCCCCUUGCCCCCGGUGUGAGUCCUUGCUCUGCAGAGCUGUCUCCUCCAGAGGCAGUCUUGCAUCCUGCAGUGCUAGUUCCGCAGAGGAGGGCAACAGGAGGCACAACUGCGAUGGCUGCUCCCGGGAAGGGACCGACUUGGUGCUGAGAUCAUACUUGUUCCUGGCAGGACUUGGAGACUAUAAUGCAGCUGGGUCUCCAAAGAACCAUUUCUGUGUGCGUGAGAGAUACUGCAACCUUCUGAUUCCUGUAAAGAAGACCUUGUAUUCUACAUGGAGGACAGUUCUUGAAACGGAGUAAUGGGGUUGGAAGAAGAAGAAGAAGAAGAAGAAGAAGAAGAAGAAGAAGAAGAAGAAGAAGAAGAAGAAGAAGAAGAAGAAGAAGAAGACGACCUCACACGGCAUGUUCAAGUCCUUGUGUGUACCUAAAGUAGCUCUUUAGAUCCUGGCUAACCAGUUUUGAUCUUUUUCUCACAGUUGGCUUCCUUCAUACGUGGCAUGUAUGCAUUUUUAAACAGUCUUGUGUGUGAUGUGUAAGGAAGUACAUCUGUGCUACAGAGUAGAAGGGGAGUGGAAACCACACUGUGCCAUUGCCCUCUUUACACUGAAAAUGGUAACUCCCCAAGUGGACUGUACCACUCUAGGCAGUGCCUACCUCCUUUUGUGCUUGUGCCUUGUGGUAUGGGGUAAAGAAGAGUAACUUUCUUUAACUCCCACUGCUUUCAUAUUUCUAGGGGAGUAGUAUUUGAUACAGUGAGGAUUUCAGUGCGACAGUCAGAGGAGAUCCGAUUGCUGUGGCGUGUAGCAUUGGAUCACCAGGGCUUCUCCCACUUCACUCUCAUUCACCCUGCAGCCAAAGUUUCAAAAAUGUGUUCCACGGAUGUUUCAAAAUCUGUGACAAAUUUUUAAAAGGGAUAGUUUUCUUUGCACUGGGCCAGGAGGGUGGGGAGUGGCAUGCUGUGUGCACCAGCAGGGCUAGUAUCAGAGGUCAAGGUCAUUGGGCAUCUGAUGAGGGCCACAUCCCAACAAGACCCACUGUUGGCUUGCAGUGCCUCCCUAUCCUUCCUCUUUGUCCUUGCUGUUUCUGCCCAUUUCCCAAGCAUGCAAGGCCUGGUAAAAGCACAGUGAGGAAGCUGCUGCCUCCACCCAGUGCAGAUCAGACACAGUGCCUCGCCACUGCCAAAAAAGCUGGAACCAACACUGUGCACCAGCAGUAGCCAUAAUUAAUGCUAACCAGGGUGUCCAUCUUCACCAGGAUUUGAAACUAGGAUUUAAAGUGGAUUUGCAAACUUCAGUUGUGAGAGAAGCUGGCUAGCAUGAGGUAAAGAACCAGCUGUGUGUUAUCUUUCAUAGGUGAUUUAACGAGAUGUGGGCUUUCUAGUCAGCAAAGCCCUCCAUUCUCUUUGAAGACGGAAACUGCAUCUGUUAUAGAACAUGGUUCAGUUGGAACAUUGUCCUAGUGCUGUGUUUUUUAAAUUCCUGUUAGGGAUGGAAGAAGGCACCACUUUCUGUUCUGCCCUGUUUUCGUCACAUGCGGCACUAUUUUUGUUGUGCUGCUGUUUGUCUUCUGCCAAAGACAGAAGUUUUUCUAUUUGCUGUGGCAAAAUUACGUAACCUGCCUAAUGUACAUAAUUAACUAUGUAAUCUACGUAAAUCACGUUGUCGUUACGUUCUUCCAUCCCAUUUGUUUCAGUGCAAAAGAAACACACUACAAAUGGGCGUGGGGAGGCGGGUGGAACAUAUCAUUGGUGGCCAGAAAGCAAUAGCAAAUAUUGAUCUUAUUUGCUGGAUUGAUUUCCAUUCUAGAAAUGAUAAAUAAAUGGACAAUUUCUUCUAUUUCCAUUUUCAUCAGAAUUUUCCAAUAUUCCUAGUUGGUAUCAUACAUGGGAUCCAAAUGCAAAAUGUGGUGGGGCACUGCCAACACCUUGCAGUUCCUGGGAGGGGGGGAAAAGAGUCUUGUGACAUUGUUCAUAGCCCACAAAGGACAGCGAGGGAGGAAAAGGAUGCCAUCUUUCUUUCUCACCUUUUGAAAUCUUCCCUACUUCUUCUUCUUCUUCUUCUUCUUCUUCUUAUUAUUAUUAUUAUUAUUAUUAUUAUUAUUAUUUUGCAGCAUGCAUUCUUGCCACCCUAAUUCUCACCUUCAGAACAAUAUAAAAUGUUAGAGCAUCAAGCAGGCCAAUUCCCCACCUCCCUAGUUCCUCCUCACCCACCCACUCAAUAGAACUAAUGUUUGCGAUGUUCUGCAGCUCCUGGAAGCUAACUGAUUAUUCUCAGUCUUCUGGCCUGGGGAGGAGAUGUUUGUAAAUUUUCAAACUUUUUUCAAAUGCAUUUGUGCACAUCUGGGAAGUCCCCCUUUCACCACCAAACUGAAAGACAUAGUGCCAUCAAGUUCAGUAUUAUCAGAAUAAGAUAAAGCAUAACUUCUUUCUCCCUAAGGAAUGUUUUGGUUUUUUAACAUUGUCAAGCAUGUUGUCUGUCACCACACAUUUUAAUUUUGGGGGUUUAGCUUUUCCAUUUUGGCUUGCUCCAAUUGGCUUGUCUAUUGGGGUAUAAAUUCCUUUGUACUGGACCUUUUUCCAAAUGCUACCAUAGUUCUUGGUGGCUUUUGCAAGGAAGGAGAGGCCUUGCAAAGGACGUCCUUUCUUUUGCUUCUGAAAAUGAGGCACUGGGGUGCAGUAGAGCCCUUUUAGCAGCACCACUCUCUGCAAUGCAGCAGGUAUUCAUGACUGCCAACCCUAUGGUCCCUUAAAUGGUGCAGUGGGAGUAAAUAAAACAUUUAAGGAUGUGCUACAUUUCCCCCCCCACCCUAUUUCUUAUCAGAAGCUGUUUGACAACAUUGUUCUCAUUGACUUCAACUGAUGGUAACUUCUAUUACUUCGCGGAAAUGUGGCCCUUUGAUGAGAGAAAGGGAAUUUUAAAAUCACGAGUCAGACAUUCAAGAAUGUGAUAAACACUACAGUUUUAAAUAAGGAAACAUAAAUGUGGGGAGUUGGUUUUUUACUUGUGUGCUGUUUCUUCUGUUGAUGCCAACUUCCUUUUGCUUUACUUUCCCAGAAUUCUUACCUCAUGAACAAUAUUAUAUCAGAUGUCCAACAGACCACAGAAUUUUGAGAGAAUGAUGCCUAAUAGCAGGAAUUCUGUCUGAUCUGGUACAUGAUGCUUGCCAUUCCUUCGUCCCAUCAAAACCUGAUGUGAAUUCAUCAUGCGAAACGCAGGACUGGAUGAAUCACAAGCCGGAAUUAAGAUUGCCAGAAGAAAUAUCAACAACCUCAGAUAUGCAGAUGACACAACCUUGAUGGCAGAAAGUGAGGAGGAAUUAAAGAACUUUUUAAUGAGGGUGAAAGAGGAGAGCGCAAAAUAUGGUCUGAAGCUCAACAUCAAAAAAACCAAGUUCAUGGCCACUGGUCCCAUCACCUCCUGGCAAAUAGAAGGGGAAGAAAUGGAGGCAGAGAGAGAUUUUUCUUUCUUGGGCUCCUUGAUCACUGCAGAUGGUGACAGCAGUCACGAAAUUAAAAGACGCCUGCUUCUUGGGAGAAAAGCAAUGACAAACCUAGACAGCAUCUUAAAAAGCAGAGACAUCACCUUGCCAACAAAGGUCCAUAUAGUUAAAGCUAUGGUUUUCCCAGUAGUGAUGUAUGGAAGUGAGAGCUGGACCAUAAAGAAGGCUGAUCGCCGAAGAAUUGAUGCUUUUGAAUUAUGGUGCUGGAGGAGACUCUUGAGAGUCCCAUGGACUGCAAGAAGAUCAAACCUAUCCAUUCUUAAGGAAAUCAGCCCUGAGUGCUCACUGGAAGGACAGAUCGUGAAGCUGAGGCUCCAAUACUUUGGCCACCUCAUGAGAAGAGAAGAAUCCUUGGAAAAGACCUUGAUGUUGGGAAAGAUGGAGGGCACUAGGAGAAGGGGACGACAGAGGACGAGAUGGUUGGACAGUGUUCUCGAAGCUACGAACACGAGUUUGACCAAACUGCGGGAGGCAGUGGAAGACAGGAGUGCCUGGCGUGCUAUGGUCCAUGGGGUCACGAAGAGUCGGACACGACUAAACGACUAAACAACAAAUGGUCCCAGAUACCCUGAGAUUGUUGACAAGUUCCCCCCAUGUAGUUCUGGGCUGCUUCAUCACCGUUCUCAUGAUCAUUGCAACUCCACGAGAUGAGAUCUUGCAUGGAGCCCCAGACCGAGGGAGGUUGACAGUUGUUUUGUUUUCUUCCAUUUGCGGAAUUACUUCCAUUUGCGGAAUUACUGCACCAACUGCUGUCACCUUCUCACCAAGCUGCUUGGCAAUACUCUUGUAACCCAGCCCAGCCUUGUGCAGGUCUACAAUCUUGUCCCUGACAUCCUUGGACAGCUCUUUGGUCUUGGUCAUGGUGGCUACUUUGGAAUCUGCUGGACUGAAGCUUCUGUCGACAGGUGUCUUUUGCACAGAUACUAUAACGAGCUGGGAUUACAGGUAAAACCUCUCCCUUACAGCAGGUGCUUCUAAUCUCAGCUCAUUACAUACAGUGAAGAUACCAGGUAGCCUGACAUCUGGUUGGUUGAAUGCACAUCUGACUUUUGUCUUCUGGGUUUCUGGGGGUUUCCUGUUGUUAUUCUGUCUCUCACAGCUACAAUAAACCUACCAUUAAAAUUAUGGACUUGUAAAUUCUUCGUUGGGGGCAAACAGGCAAAUUUAGCAGGGGAUCAAAUACUCCCCCCCCCACUGUAUGUUAUGGAUAAUGUCGUGUGAACAUGCGUUAAAAACCCAGCACUAGAAAUGCAGUGAGUGCUCAGUAAAUGGGUGUGUGAAUAUAGCCUCAAUUUCAAAAGAUGACAAGUGGUACCAGCAAGGAAACAUUGGAUUGUAGCCUCACUUUCUAAUGCAGCUGCCCCUGUAGAGGGUUUCACCAACCAGCCAGGAUUCUGUAAGCUAACUCAACUGGUGCCACACCCAUUUCCUAUUUUCUAACUCUCACUCUACACUCCAUGGCUAGUGAGCAUAUAUAUUCAGUCCUUAUUGACGGGGGCGGUGGGAACUUGCCUGGUUACAUUUUUCAACAGGGUUGGUUGUGUUGGGGUUUUUUGGGGGGGGGGAGGGUUGUUUUGUUUUUUGUUUUGUUUUGUUUUGAAUUCUGCAAAGCUCAUGGUAUUCCCAAGUAUGAGGAUACCUUCAUCUUGUUUUUUUAAUGGCUAUGCAUUUGCAACUUGAAUUGUUAGGCAGAAUGGUAUCACAUCCAGGGACACCCAUUUCACAUAUUAUCAUGGUCUGUGUCCUUGCACUUCAAGAAUAACUGAAGAGAGAGAGAGUGCAUCAAAACAGCUGGGUGAUAUCUCUUUUUCUUUAACACAGAGUCUCCAACACAACUGAGAUUAUGGUUUUCUGGACCUCACCAGAAUUAAUACAUUGCCAGCAUGUUACUUUGCUCAAAUGGCUGCAUGUGGAAUAGCAUCAUGGAGCCACUUGUUUCUUCUCACAGCAGAGUAGAAUAUUACUGUGAUGCCUCAUUGGCUUGUGUGGAAUGAUUAUCUUGCCUUUCUGGCAUGCUUGACUACCUCUUGUUUGAUUUAGGAGGAAUAGCUAGUGAAACAGUACAAUAUCUCUUCUCAGCACUGGCUGAUCAGAAUUUGGCAGGCUUUCCUGAAGGAAACAAAAUGGAUUCAUUUUGAUUCAGGUUCCUUUCAAUAAUACAUCUAGCAAUCCAAAAAUGUAUGAAUCAUCUCACUUCUUAAUAGCCAAUGUGUCGUUUUUGUCAGAACUGAGUGAACUUUUAAAAAAGAAUCUCCAUAUGCAGCUAUUUGAGCAAAGUAACAUUUUACUCUUUAUAGAAGGGUGGUCCAAUGCUCUGCUGGCCUGCAAGGCGUCUUUUGGCAGCCCGUGGCAAGGCAAGGAACAGGAAGCGACUCCUGGGGCAUGAGCGGCUCUAGGAAGAAGGUAUGAGGGCUCUGACAGGAGGGUCUUUGAGUCCUUGUGUCUCCAUCCCAAAACCUAGUUAGUGCUUUUCCAGCUUUGGAAAGGUGGUGGGAGGGCUCUAAGAUCCUGUCAGAGCACUCAUGUCACCUCCUCAAAGCUAGGCAAGCGCUUACUAGGCUUUGAAAAGGUUGUCCUUCAGCUUGAUGCCCAGUGCAGGCAAACCGGUCACACUGCUUUAAAUCCAGUGCUGCCCCCACCUCUCAGUGCCAGGAAGGAGGAAAUGAAGUGCUAGGUGAGAGCUGUCCCUGAAGCAGCAGACACCUGGAAAUGGUGCUGGUACUGGUGGUAGUGAGUUGGGGGAACUCCUCAUUGUCUCUGGAGCUCAUGGGUCAAGGGCCUGGCUGGGGAAAGAGGGAUCAGUGAGGUGGGGAGGAGCAGCAGAAGUUUGGGGCAAUCAGGGUGGGUAGAUCUCAGCUGCGUGGAGUGUGAACAAUUAAUUGUAAGGCUUCCCCAAUCCUUUUAUAGGUACAAUAAUACCUCCGCGAACGUCUGCCUUGUCUAGCGUUCAUUCCGGUGAACAUCCACAGCAAACCCGGAAGUACCAGAACGAGUUACUUCUGGGUUUGCCGCGCAGAAGUGCAAAUUGUUCUGCACGCGUGCGCAGACACGGCGCUUUGCCCUGCAUCCUUUUUGGCUAGCGGCCAGGGCUCUGGAACGGAUCCCGGCUCUAAAAUGAGGUACAACUGUAUAUUUUCUUUGCCCUUCAUUGUCAAUUUGUGCUACCUGACUCUAGUUGGAAUCUUUGUUAGAGAGUGUAAGAGAGAAAACAAAUGGGGGUAAAUAAUAUUAGGCCAAAGAGGAAAAAAUUAUUUGUGCUUCUCUGUUGUUGUUAUUUAGUUCUCUGCAAUGAUAAUACUAGUGCAGUCUCUGCAGCAAGAAAACGAUAAAAGAUAACUCCACUCUUCUUCAUUUAUGUCUGUGCCCUUGAAUAAGGUAAUUUUUGUGAAUCCCCAUCCCCUACCCUUUCAUUUAGACAGAUUAGAAAGACCAACCAUGCAUACGUCCCAGGGUAUGGUUUGAAGGCAUGUGAGGCCACCACUUUACUGAAACAGAGCAUAUCUGAGUGCAUCUGAUGCGUGGAUGGGAAAACUCCUAGGAACUGUAUGCAUGCCACUUUGGGAUCCAUGUAAAAAGGGUGGGAUUUAAAAUUUAAGAAAAUGCAAGUGAGUGAUACCUUCAUUCUAGUUCUGCUAGUUUCUAUUUAUGUUGUAUUAAAAAGAUCGCUAAGGAAACAAGUUUUCCCAUUGAAUACAAUGGAACCAGGACUUUACAAAUAGCAGAAAACAUAUAUUUGGGUACAAUAGUUAUGACUGUGGUACACAAGAAGUAUGUCUCUAGCAAAUAUCACCCAUCAAUAAAAUAGAAAGGGUCCUACUGUGGGGUUCCCAGGCUUCAGAGACACGCAGUUUUGUCCUUAAGCUGCAUUGCUCCCUGUUGUCUUAUUAGCAAAUCCUCUGUAAUCUUCUGCUGGACCACCAUUUCAGGAAUGCUAGGUUAACACUGAAACAUCUAACACAUUUCAGCCAAUCAUUAUGAAACAUUUUGUUGAGAAAGAAAAAGGGUUUCAGUUGUUGAGUCACCAGUAAACUAUGUACCUGUUGAGUACCUGUUGAGUAUGAAAUGUUAUUUAGCUCUAGGCAUAGGUAAAAUUAUCUUGCUGUGAACAGGAAAGAAUGUAAGCUGACCUACAGGUAGAAGCCUGUGAAUAAUGUCCUAUGGCAUGUUUAGUACAUUAUAGCUGGAAGAACAGCAGUGAAGGGGUUGAAUAAGCCUGUUCUCUUGGACCAGCAAACAAGUCUCCUACUGUCCAUAAAUUAAGUUAUUAAGGGUCAUCUUAGUCAAUUGGCUGAUGCAAUUAUUAAACAAAAACUAUAUAGAUCACUUAUUGUUAGGUAUUGGGGUGCUUCUUUUCCUCAGUGGAAUUAUGCCUGAGGGUUAAGCUUAUUUCAGGCUUGUUCUUUUUUUUAAUCCUAGAAUCUCUAUGGUCCACCAACACAUUUUAAAUGUAUGAAGCAAGAGUAUCUUCAUUAGUCCUUAACAGUCAAUGCAUAACUAAUGUGUAUUAAGAGAUCUUUAAUAGGCAUUCUUACUUAAGAAUGUGUCUUGCUGAAUCAGCUUAAGAGGCACCUGGUCCAGGAAACAGGCUGGUAUUGCAGCUCCCAGCAGGUGCUAAGUGAUCCACUGGAGAAGAAUAAGCAGUCUUUCUAGAUUGUAUUCCUUUGUGCCUAUUUCCUAGUUGGCCUACACAUAUUUAUAUUUUGUUUUACGUUAUAUUAUAAACAGUGUGCAGUUAUUUUUGAACAUUUUUAAUAUAGACAACUUGCAUGAGGGUUAAGUUCCAGGGACUGUGCGAAAUUGCAUAUAGCCGGAACAACCCCACAACUGAACAUGUGCAACCAUAAGUGUUUUCCUUCUAGAAAAAAAGGUGCCGGUAUGGCGGACCCUUGAGUACCCCCAGAAAAAAAGCACUGGUGACCAUUCCUACCUUUCUGGAGCUGGCGCACUUACCCCCCAUGCAAGCCCAGAGGCCUGGUGAGACUUUUCCAGAGCCUGGGAACCAAGGCAGAGAGCUUAAAGUUUUCUGCAGUGGGAAAGUGUGGUGUAGAAAGAGCUUUCAAGCUCUCUGCCUUGCAUAAGAGUAUUUAAUUUGUGAGAUUGCAUGCUGCCAAACAUGUAAAGCUAUAAUUGCACAAGUUAAAUAUGUGCAGGUUGCAAGUCAACUUUACUGUACUUUCUGUCAGGUGUUUGUACACAACAUAGGGUGCAAUUUGUAGAAACGGAGUAUAAAAUUAAAAGCAAAAUAUCCAUUUGUGGGGGAGGGACAUAUGGCAUGCUUAUCUCCCUACACUACAGCAGCCAGACUCAGGAGAGGUGAAGGGGAAAGCACAGGAAGUAACUGCAUCAUUCACCCCUCCCAUGUGGUUUUCCUGUGACUGGUCUUCCCAGAACUGUAUGGAAAGCAGCCAAAGGAAAGCUGUAACCAUUCUAGAUAACUUAAGAACCAGCCACUUGAUGGGUUUGGGUGCUCUUACCAGUACUAUGUUAAUUAUAAACAACUUCUCCAUUUAUUAUUCUGUGUUUUCCACACUUGCCAGAGAGUAGUUUCCUCUAGGAGUGCUGCACUGGAAAUCCUCAGGAGGAAAAUGUGGGUGCUUAUGAUAAGCUUUCACUUAAUUUCUUUUUCCAAUGCCUUAUUACGGCAUUUCAGCCACAAACACAAGAAGAGAGCACAGAGUCCUUCUGUUUCAUAAUCUCUCCAGCUGGUCCUAUUUCAAUUAAAGAGGAAAAAUGAGGUACUACAUAGCUGUUACAAAACAUCUUACGUGGCAGCAUGAUAAUUUGCAUAUGUGGUAGGAGUCCAGGAAGGCACCAUCGCCUGCUUCAUGUUGACAUUUUACUUGUCCUUAAAAGGACUUGGUGGAGGGUGGGGGAGAGAGAGAAAGAGCUGGCAGCUUGCUAUGAUUAUUAAAAAAGAAAGAAAUGAGGCUAUUUGCUAAUAACUGUAGCUUGCAAGGUGAAAUUAAAACAUUGCUUUAUGGAAUUUGUUUGGUUCUUUUAAAAUGUCAUCUGUCUGAAGGUUGGUGGUUUUAAAUAUAGCCUCCAAGCACCUUUUAUACAACCUCCAGUGCUGAUAAGGAGCUUGAUAAAAGCUUUUAUCUAUGCCAAAGGGAGAUGUUUCAUGCCAAGACGUUUAAAGCCAUGUAAUCUCUACUGCCCUUACCCUGCUAGGAAAAGGGCAUUUGUCUUGAGAUUUGUAUAAUAUCCAAUAAUUUGCCUUCCUCCUCCUGUUUUUAGCUCUUUGUCAUGCUUAUUAAAAGAGAAGUUGGCUCUUUUUAGUUUGUCUGAGUUUACUAAUCACCAGAGCAUCCAGAUUAUUUUCACUCAGCUUGGCUUCUUUAUAUUUUAAAGUAACCUCUACUGGUAUACUGUCUCUCAUGAAUGUUCAAUCUGAGAUAUCCCAUAUUCUCUCUAGGUAGUUAAAAUACUAGCUGUUUUUAAGUUCCAUACAUGACUGCUGCUGGAAAAAAUGUUGUUGCCCUAGUGUUUCCUGCAACAUGUAUUAUAGAUGUCAUACACUUGAGUACACACAUCCUUAAAUUUUCAUGUUACAUGAUCUGGGAAAUCUGAUAGGAUAGGGUUCUCAAAUGCAUACAUAUGACUGUUUAAAGAUUUGUCUCUUUGGGACAGAGAAUUCUUUGUUUGGGUUAUGUUGAUCUGUAAAGUGCAAUUUAUACUGACGGUGUUAUAAAAAAAAAAAUCCUAAUAGGCAUUAUUCUUCCUUACUCCAUAGGUUGGCUAUACCUUGCUGUUACAGCUGUCAAGUAUCUUUGCUGAAUAAAUCUAAGGACGAGAAAUGUUUCAGAUUCCAUUAGUUUUGCUCGUCAAGUUUCAAGUAGCUGAAAUACCAAUGCUUGUACUGAUACAAGGAUGGCUACCUUCAUUGUUAGUGCCCUACAAAAAAUGAUGUAUGAGUCUGUGGUCAAUUUAUAAGAGACCAUCAAGAAACUGAUACUUCAAGAACAGUGAUGCGAUCAACAGAAAGUUAACACUGGUAAUGAUGCCGAAACCUCUUUUUCAAAUCACCACAUUACCGCUGGUUCAGAAGGGUCCCUUCAUAAUUCUGCAUUGAUUGAAUGAAGUUAGCAACUUAAAUGAUUUAUCUGAUAUUCUCCUAAAACCUAAAGUACUCCAUGUGAAUAAGCUGUUACAUUCAAAGGGGAAAUCUAAAUAUGUAUGUGUGCACAAAAGAUACAGAAGAAUGGCUAUGUCUGACUUGUAUGAAGAAAGUACAAAAGCAGUGGCUGUGGUCCAGGCAGCUCAGAUAGCCAAAAUUUUAUUGAGCCAUGCCACUGCUGCUUCUAACAAGCCAGGCAGAACCACCCCUGGCUACCCACUGAAUCCUUGUACUCAGCCAACCAAGUUGAUUGUAUGAGAAAUAAAUCACGUUAGCUCUCCAUUUGAUAGUCAGUGCCUUCCCUGUGUUGCUGGUCCUCGCACCUGACAUAGCUAUCUAGAAGCAAAAUGCAUUUAGCCAACCAAACUACUCCAUGCCAAGGCUAGGUGAACUUAGACUAGCAGAGGGAAGGCAAUAUUGCCACCAUUUUCUAAUGGUGUACUUUCCUGAGAUACUGUUUGAUGUGUUUACCCUCAAACCAGCUUCAGUCCAAAAGGUGAAGUUAUGUCACGUUUGCUUUGCAGUUAAGGUGAGGUGUGUAUAUUGGAGACAGCCAUUGGGGCAGUUGCAGGAGUGGCAAAACAAAUAGGUAAUACAACCUGAAAUGCAGUGAGGAAAUGACCUUGCUGUGUUUUAAGAUGCUAAUAUGUAAGUAGCCCAAGUAUCCUGCAGGCAAGCAUAGUGAAUGUUUGAUGACAAAGCCUGCCUCAUCUCAAACCCAGAACUAGCUACAUCUUUUUAUACCCCGCCCAUCUGGCCGGGUUUCCCCUGCCACUCUGGGUGGCUUCCAACAAAUACCAAAAUACAUUAAAAUAUCACAGGUUAAAAACUUCCCUAAACAGGGCUGCCUUUAGGUGUUUUCUAAAUGUCAGGUAGUUGUUCAUCUCCCUGACCUCCGAUGGGAGGGCGUUCCACAGGGCGGGUGCCACUACCGAGAAGGCCCUCUGCCUGGUUUCCUGUAGCUUUGCGUCUCGCAGUGAGGGAACCACCAGAAGGCCCUCGGCGCUGGAUCUCAGUGUCCGGGCAGAACGAUGGAGGUGGAGACGCUCCUUCAGGUAUAUAGGACCGAGGCCGUUUAGGGCUUUAAAGGUCAGCACCAACACUUUAAAUUGUGCUCGGAAACGUACUGGGAGCCAAUGUAGGUCUUUCAAGACCAGUGUUAUGUGGUCUUGGCGGCUGCUCCCAGUCACCAGUCUAGCGGCUGCAUUCUGGAUUAAUUGCAGUUUCUGGGUCACCUUCAAAGGUAGCCCCACGUAGAGCACAUUGCAGUAGUCCAAGCGGGAGAUAACUAGGGCAUGCACAGUCUGCGGGCAGGUAGGGUCUCAGCCUGCGUACCAGAUGGAGCUGGUAGACAGCCGCCCUGGACACAGAAUUAACCUGUGCCUCCAUGGACAGCUGUGAGUCCAAAAUGACUCCCAGGCUGCGCACCUGGUCCUUCAAGGGCACAGUUAUCCCCUUCAGGGCCAGGGAGUCCCCCACCCCCGCCCACCCCGUCCCCCCAAAACAGUACUUCUGUCUUGUCAGGAUUCAACCUCAAUCUGUUUACCGCCAUCCAUCCUCCAACCGCCUCCAGGCGCUCACACAGGACAUUCACAUUCAUCUAAUUUUAAUGCAUCCAUCAUGGUAAAAACAGCUGUCUGCACUACAGAAGCUGGAUCCAAUGGGGUGAUGCAGAUGCUGGAGAAAGUAAGCCCAUACCUGUAGGGUGGGAAGUUCAGGCCACUUACCUCUGUGCUGAUUGCACCUUAGCAAAAAUUCCUAUACAGUAUGAAGCUGCUGACGUGGCACCUGCAAGAAAAAAGUGUCAGCAUAAAUAUUAAUGACCUGCUCUUUAAAUGCAGUUGAUUUGCAGCCCAAUAAGGAAGUAUUAUAGUUAAGUAUUGAACCGGUCUGUUUUCCAAAGGAAAAGAGGUUGCUAGGGACCCACUUACCUCAAAGGAGUAACUUUGGUUUUAGAUUUGGAUUGCAGCUAAAUAGCUACUCACUGCCUGGGUACCAGGACUUCCACACUGGAUGUCUUAGUCCCCUUAUCUGGAAGAGAUUUUAUUGCAGCAAUACUAUACUGAUUUUUGCUAGCUUUCAAUCAAAACACAAUGCACAAAGGAAAAGCAACUGUAAAUAUAACUAUUAUUCAAUAAUUAUAUCAUUUUUAAUAACUUCUAAUGCAGGAACAGAACAAGCCAAUUGUGGAUGGUGGAUGAACAUUCGUGGCAUUUGCAGCAGAGACAUAAAAAGAAUAAAAUAAAUAGUGCAUGAGAAAUGAAAUUGAAGAAGAAAAGUAGUAUUUCAAUAGACCGAGAAGGAAUACGCAGAGAUGAGAGGUGUCCAAGAUCAUGGAGACACUUAAACAUAAAUAAAGGAAACUUAAAGGAGAGAGAGACAAUGCAAGCAAAGGAGAAAGAAGGUCCAAAUGAGAGGAAAGAAUAAGUAACCUGAAGAACUCAAAAUAGGCAUUAAUGGCUGCACCAAAAAAAUGGGAAACCAAAUAAAAUCCCAGUAAUCAUAAAUAUAAAUAUACUAAAUACAUUUUUAGGGAUUCAACAUAGUUGUAAUAUUGUUAAGGAAGUAUUGUUUCAUUUUUACUAUUAUGCAGUGCAGUCAGUAUACAUAGCACUUUAAAGAGUAACAACAAGAAGGGAUCCUGGCUCAGGGACUUAGAACGUAAAAUUAAACAGUAGGAGCAACAGGGAAAAUUGUGAAGUCAAGAAAGAACAGAAAUGAUAAAAAGUGAAUGAGUGAAGAGAUUACUAAAGCAAGGCAUGACCUACAGGAUCAAAUCCACAAGAUCCAGGAAAAAGAAUGGGGGGAUAGUGUAAGAUGCUGUGGAUUUACAUGCAGGGCAGUUAAUGUAAAAUGAGGACAAAAAGCAAACUAAAAAAUGAUCAAAAGUCAGAUUUUACAUUAGAAUGAACAACCUCAGGCAGCUUUGAAAGGAAUUUAAGAGAAAUAGAAAGAUGGGAUCCAAACACUAUUUCUUAAAACAGAAGAAAUGAUAAAUGCUUAAGGACCAAUCCAAAAGAUUAAAAAGAUGGUUUAAGAGGAAUAAACAUGAGGAGAUAUAUUUAUUUUAUGUAUUUUAUAGGCUGCCUUUCAGAAUUGCCUCUUGAGGCGUCCCAACAAGUUAAAAACAGUCUAUGAUGUUGAGUAAGAAACCAAGGCAGGAGAGGGUGAAGAGGAUGAGUUGUGAAUUCAGGAGAACUGAGAACACAAAGUAGGUUGAAAAUAAGCAGAAGAGACAAAAGAAGAAAUAAAGUGGUGACAAAACACAACAGUAAUAAAGAAUGAAUCCUUGACGUUUCAUCAACAAACUAUAUAUUAGUGCGUGGUUGGCAUAGCUGCCAAAUUUCCCUUUUCUCGCAAGGAAGCCUAUUCAGCAUAAGGGGAUUUCCCUUAAAAAAAAAAGGGAGAACUUGGCAGCUAUGGUGGUUGGGUGCUGGUGUAAAACAAAAAUCUUGGGGGUCCACCAACCUUUCUGGCAGGUCCCAGGAAGGUUCAGGAUUUAAACAUCUGUAUUAAUUAGAGCAUACAAUGAAGAUUACAAAAACCGUGGAAGAACAGCAGUCAGUAAGAGGGUUAGCAAGAAAUAAAGACAAACCUGUUCCCUCAUUGGUUUCUCUGUGUGCCCUGGUUUCUAUAUGUCCUCCACAAGCUGUUCUUUCCCAGGGUCAAAGGAUAAAGGUAGAGCCCCAAGAGACAGCAUGUUCUCAGGCCCUCGAUGUUCUCUGCAAGUCUUGUACCUGGUUCUCUCAAGUCUCCUGACCCUGUAAAAUGAGAACAGAAUAUGAUAGGGAAGUUAAUGGGAGAAGAAAGCCUCAACCCUUUCUGCUUGAGGCUGCAUCAUUUCUUGCCUCUUUGGGCUUCAGUGGCUAGCACUAUUAUGUUAUAAGACGACCUUACCAACCUUACUAUAUGCUUGUGAAACAUGGACCACUUAUAAAUGCCAUCUCCAACUCCUCAAAAGAUUCCAUCAACGGUGUCUCUGAAAAGUUUACACAUCACUUGGGAAGACAGGCAAACUAAUAUCAGUGUACUGGAAGAAGCACCAGUGUUGAAGCAAUGAUUCUUCAACAUCAACUUUGUUGGACUGAUCAUGUUGUGCGGAUGCCUGAUGGUCAUCUUCCAAAGCAACUACUCUAUUCCGAACUUAAAAAUGGAAAGUGUAAUGCUGGUGGUCAACAAAAGAGGUUUAAAGACUGUCUCAAGGCAAAUCUUUAAAAAUGUAGUAUAAACACCGACAACUGGGAAACACUGGCCUGCGAGCGCUCCAGUUGGAGAACAGCCUUUACCAAAGGUGUUGUGGGCUAUGAAGAAACUCGAUUUCAGGACGCAUGGGAGAAACGUGCUAAGAGGAAGGCACGCUUGGCAAAUCUACACCAUGAUCAACUCCCACCUGGAAACCAAUGUCCCCACUGUGGAAGGACAUCUGGAUCCAGAAUUGGCCUCCACAGUCACUUACGGACCCAUUGUUAAAAUCGUGUUUAUGGAAGACAAUCUUACUCGGCUACAAGUGAUCGCCAAAGAAGAAGAAGAAAGAAGUUAUAAGACGAGGAGGCAGGCCAGUUACACCCAACAAAACUGUCAAGAUGUGAGAAUUUCGGCCCUGACCGGCAGAGUAAUUUGCCAUUUUUGGAGUAAUUAAGAAGAUACAGAGAAUGGUGAAGAGAAGAAUAAGCAAAAUAAUCAAUAUGAGAAUUAAAAGGUCCAAGAAUAAGAGAGGGGAAGGAAUUAGCUAUGAGCCAAAGAACACGAGUAAUGCAGAGAAUAGAAUAUGGGAAGAUAUGAGUACCACAAAUUUGAAAUUCACAAAGAAAUGAGAAGGGGGGUGGGGGGGGAGAGAAUAUGAAACUGGUAAGGGGGGGGACUACAAGCACCACCAUGCUCUGUAACAUGAGUGGGAAAAGGGAAAGCAGAUUAACUAAAGAGUGGCAGAAGUAACUCAAAUGAAGAGUUACCUUUCUCAAUAAGGGCAAACAAUGACAGAAACUGGGAUUAAAACUCUGUAAAAGAAUUGUUUCAUAAGCCAAAAUAUGCCACUGAGUGUCAUUGGACAAAAAUAGUAUUAGGAAAUGAGAUUGAGCAGGGACUAAGAUUAGGUAAAAUAUCACCAGCAAUAAAAAGUAAGAAGAACAGCCCCUCAUAGAAAAACUGCAAAAAAAAUAAAUAUCAGUAGAUAUGGCAAAGGGUAAAACCAGUGAAAGGACCACAAAACAUUUGGUACAGUAGGGGAAUAGGGUGGAGGAAAUCAAGAGUUCCAAAAAUGGGGGGAUUACUUGGGACUUUCCUUGCCUCUCCUCAAAAGGGGUAGUAAUGAAGUUGUGAUGUAGCUUACUUGCUCCAUUGACUUCAGUGAGCUGUACGUGAUUAGCUAAAAUGGCCAGACUGUUAAUAAGAUAAAGUUUAAUGCAAGUAAGAAACAUAGCCAUCUAUUAACAUUAAACUAUGUAAAAUAACAAACCUUCUUUUCUUACUAUAUAAAUAAGUAAAGAAGAAAAUGAAAAGUUUAAUGGAUAAAAUGUUUUGGGGUACUGUAUCUUUUUCUUGUUUUCAAAAGCUAACAUAUUUACCUUAUAAAAUGUUCUGGAUUCUUCGGGUUUUAUGCAUAAUAGAAUGUUGGCAUACAUUUAUGUUCAUAUUUUCAGCAUUUGUUUUAUUACAAUGAAAGUAGUGCACAUACUAAACCAAGAAAUAGCCAUUUCCUUCUAGGAAACUUGGAAGAUCAACUUUCUUUAUAGUGCUUGGAUUCUGAAGAUGGUACCAGCACAAGAAUGUGUCUUCCUCUGGAAGCUGGUUUCACAUGGUGGCUUAGAUUUUCCCAUCUUUGUAUCUAGCACCAUUUGAAAUCAGUGUUCUAGGAGCAAGAAUUACAGCACUGGAUCCAGAGAAGAACAGGAAGCAAGAGCACAGUAGUCACCAAAUUUAAUUUGGUAAUAUUCAUAUGUCUUUCUCUGUGUCUCAGUAAGAGAAAAUGUUUAAAGCUGUAGCUUAAGUUAUAGUUAACUGUAGUUAAGUUAAGGGACCCAGGUGGCGCUGUGGUUAAACCACUGAGCCUAGGGCUUGCUGAUCAGAAGGUCGGCGGUUCGAAUCCCUGUGACGGGGUGAGCUCCCGUUGCUUGGUCCCAGCUCCUGCCAACCUAGCAGUUCGAAAGCACCUCAAAAUGCAAGUAGAUAAAUAGGAACCGCUACAGCGGGAAGAUAAACGGCGUUUCCAUGUGCUGCUCUGAUUUGCCAGAAGCAGCUUUGUCAUGCUGGCCACAUGACCUGGAAGCUAUACGCCGGCUCCCUCGGCCAAUAAUGCGAGAUGAGCGCGCAACCCCAGAGUCGGCCACAACUGGACCUAAUGGUCAGGGGUCCCUUUACCUUUACCUAAGUUAUGCCUAGAGUACAAGAAAAUACAUUGUAGUACAGAGUGGCUGCCAUUCUACUGCUUGCAUGCAGCAGUGAAAGCUGCAAAUGGAGAGCCCACUGCACUUGGUGAGACAUGCAAAGAAAUUAGGCUUGGGGAAAGCAAUCUAUGGUGGAACUGCGGCAACUUCCUAUGAAGGGGGUUGGGAUCCAAAGACAUCUGGUCCGCCUUUUCCCACCUCAUCACCAGCAGUACAUCUAUGCAGAGCUUUCCACGGGGGUACUGGGGACUCUUCUGGGGGUAUAUGUGCUGCCUUGCUGGUGGAGCAGCAGUUAGGCAUACUCUGAAGAACCCUCAGCCAACUUCCAGCUAGCCGUCAGAUUGCUUCAUUUUAUUUGCAUUAAUUUCACCACCUUUCAUUUUCCUGCCAUAGUUAUUUGAAUUCCAUCAGCUUUCACACAAAAAACACUGUUGCAUGCAACUUUAAUGGGUAUUCCAUAAAAAUGUAAAAGUGAGGAAAUUUUGAAUAUAACAUCCUAUUUGUUUCAAAUUAGUGCAUGCUUAAGUACCAAUAGUAAUGUGGGAAAUUUACAUUUUACUUUUGGCUAUUUGAAUGUUGGUGGUGAUAAGUCAUAUAAUUAGGAACAGAACAUUUAUUGAGUACUAUAACCAUAUUUUUCAGGCCAGCGUCUUCCAAACUCAAAGUAAAUACCUAGUAACAAGAUGCAUUGACUAACAAUGACCAUUGUUCAAAGUUUCAUAGGCUAUGAUCUGAACAACUUGCAAGUACUCAUAACAGCCAAUAUGGAACUGGAAAAAACAUCUCUUACACAGGCUGACCGAUUUCUCUUGGUGUUCAGAGUCUUAGUUUUUGUCUAGCACCAUUUGAAAUCGGUUAUGAUGUAGGGGGAAAAGCAACUGCAAUGGAUAUGCAGAGUGUGCUGAAAAAGCUCUAUGAAGAGAUGCCUUUAAAAGACUGAUAAGACUAUUGCUUUUGUGUCUCUUGUGUGGGCAGAUAUUGCAGUAACUAUCUAAGUUCCAUUGCAAUAGAAUAUCUGUGGGCUUCACUGUCUAAAUCAGGCAUCCCCAAACUUCGGCCCUCCAGAUGUUUUGAACUACAAUUCCCAUCAUCCCUGACCACUGGUCCCGUUAGCUAGGGAUCAUGGGAGUUGUAGGCCAAAACAUCUGGAGGGCCGCAGUUUGGGGAUGCCUGGCCUAAAUCCUCUAGCUGGAGUUGUUGGAGAUGAUAGUACUGUUAUUCUGGCUGUAGACUUCAAAGUGCUCUGUUAAUCCAGCCCUGUCAGUAGAACUGUACCAAAUGCAAACAUUUGGGCUAGAUUAUUCCUUAAGGCUUAUUAUUAUUUCCAUCUUGUUUUGGCUACCUUGUUUCAAUAUCAUUUUCCCUGGAGUACUGAUGACACUCUAGCCAGCCAAAUUUGACUGUGUAAUGUCAAAGACGGGAAAUAAAGCAGGGGCCAGCAAACUAAGGCCCAGAGCCCGGAUGCGGCCCACUAGGCUCGUUAAUCCGGCCCUCAUACCUUGCGGACCCUGCUGCCCACUCAGUCAGUCCCCGUGCUAAACCAUAGCAGCGCGGAGGCUGAUUACCACAAUGCUGGCGCGGCUUCGGAUUGGCUGCAGGAAGCUCCUGCAGCCAAUCCAAAGUCAUGGACACCUCCGGGCGAUGCCCCUUCCUUCCCGCUGAGGCAGCCGUGUAGCCAAGAGCCGAGCAGGAGAAAGCGGCAUGGGCUCUACACUCUGCAGACCCCUGGUCGACGUAGAGGAUGACGACGCUGCUAAAGACGAGGCAGCGGUGACAGCUGUGGCACGAGAGGGAGGGUCUGGCCCCCACACAAAGUAUGAGGGACAGUGGACUGGCCCCUUCCUGAAAAAGUUUGCUGACCCCUGAAAUAAAGACAAUUCAGAGUGAAGCAUAUGCUUCAUCCUACUGCUGGAAUGCUUUACUUUCAUUUAUAUGUGCAUGUGUGCACAUCAGCAAUAUAUGCAUAAUAAACAUAUAUUUAACGCUGGACAAGCCAGUUUCACUCACAGAUUUGCUAGACUUAGAAGAAAAUGGCUUGAGGGAGGUAAUACCGUAUUGGCCCGCAUAUAAGCCACAUGCUCCCUCACUGGUUGGCCUGCACAUGCUCCCUCUCCCCACCGCCAACCAGCUGGGAGGCAGGCAUGCCGCUCCCCCCAACACCAAGCAACUAGGCAGCAUAUGGUAAAAAGUCGUAAAUAUAACCGCACUUUAACUUUUCAGGGUCCGAAAUUGGGGAAAAAGUGUGGCUUAUAUUUGGCCCAAUACAUUUGGUACAUGAAGGUGAACCAGACAUGUCACUGACCAUUCCUCUGCACCAAAUGAGAGAAGCACUGUAGUCGGUUUGUACCAGAAAGAACUAUGUUGCAACUGCAAGAGGAUUUUUUUUAAAAAAAAAAACAUGACAAACAAAUACUUGGAAAAAAGAGACAACAUGGGAAUACAAGAGUUUUGAAUGAAUGUUGCCCAAAUUCUUAGCAGUAAAAAUAGUAUGGAAAUGUCCUGUGUAAAACCAAAAUUGCACCAGUAUUUUGAAUCAUUCACUACUACUGACAGGCAGCAGACACAAAGUUAGGGCUGCUCACUCAGCCAAAUCAUUUUUUAUAUUCCAUUUGGUAAUAUUUGUAAGGAACAGAAUUGAAAAUAAAGCAACUAUAAUGCCCUAAAGAGGCCCAUCAAACCGCCACUUUGUGGAAUGUUAACCUUUUUAUUUACCCAGGCUUUUCCUGUUUAACUUUACUGCUAUAUUUUUAACUCCUCUUUUUGUUACACUUUGUUGAGUUGUUGGUUUUUACUGAAAAUUGCCCUAUGUUAUAAUAGAAAACAUUUACAAACAUAAAAUAUUUGUUUGCUUACUUUAAUCUGCUGCAGACAGAGGCUCAAUGUCACCUCAAUGUUCCAUUGCUCAACAUUCCCACUGCACUCCCCCCCUCCUGCCACGUCAUAGAAAAAAAUAAGCUUGUGUUGUCCAGAGCUGGACUUGUGGUUUGUUUGUCUCUAAACAAAUCAUGAGCAAUAAGCUAAGAACAAACCCUGGUAAUUGUUUGGAGCUAAACAAACCAUGAGAUUGUGUUCAGACAACACAACGCAGAUCCUGGCUCAUCUGCUGUACGACAGAAGCAUGGGGACUUUGGAGAAGCAUGGACCAGCACUCUGCAGCUUUACAUUAAACUAUACUCUUUUAAACUAUGGUUUAAAAUGUAAUGUGCAGAUUGAGCCAGAGAGACUUUUGUACUAGAAAGAAACUUAAGAGGUUUCUUCCUCUCUCUUUUUACAACAAUGAAGUAGUAUAUAAUUUUGUUAAGCAAAUUAAAAAUUUAAUUUGUAAAUUCUAGUAUGUGCAGAAAAUGCAAAAUGAAAUCAGCAGAAAUUUUUAAACCUGUGAUAUAAACUAACACUAUAUGGCACUGCUGUUUUACUUUUGUAAAAAUUUGUGCUUUGUAUGUCGUUUACAAAUCAUUCAGUUUUGCUACUUUAGUCCUCAGCAACACCAUCCAUUCCCAAAACUCCAUUUUAUUUUUCUUUAUAUAUUUUUCUGGAAUGUAAAAUCACAUUGAGAAUGAUGGUGCCUAUUAAAGUAAAUGAAUUCUAUUGCAAAAUAAUACAAAACUGAUUUUGUUGUCUCAUUCCAAUCUGUGUGUAUAUUUCCUAAGUUUCUAAGGAGAUGCAAACAAAAAUACACUUCCUUUUUUCUUUUUUGCAAUAGCUGCUGGGGGGAGGGGGACAAUUUUAAUCUGAAAUACAGAUUAGUGCUAUUGGAACUGAAUCCAAGGCCCACUUUCACAAAAAUGCUAUUUGUGUUUUCAGAAGCUGUCGUGUUCAAGUGUUAACAAUUUAUUGAACUUUGAACACACCUGUGGUUCUACAGCCUUCUUUGGUAUCAUCCUCAGGUCAUUAUUAAAUAGGAUGUGAAACCUGAUCAUAACAGCACCUCUCCAGUCAGAACUGUUAACCUGAAAUGUAGUCCUUGGGGAAAUAAAUUCUAGAAUUUUGUUGGAAACCGCAAUAUUUUCACAAAAAAAUUGUUUUUAAGUAGCCAUGACAACAGGCAAACAGCUUUUCCAGCUUUUUUUCUAGUUAUGCGGCAUGAUGUACUUUAAAAACUGGUUCUCAGUCUCAGCGAAUAUCGCUGAGUUGUAAUGGCAGGUGUUCUACUAGGUGGAAAUUGGGAACCAGACAAAAAAAGGCGGGGGAAUGUUGGUCUUACCAGUGAGGAGUUCCUUUUCUACAGUGGUAAGGGAUAUUCUUGUCUGGGCUUCUCUUCCCACUUCAGAAAACAUGACUUACGCAAAUCAGGUAUCUGUCAUGCCCUGACUGGGAGAGAGCUCCACCCUCCCUCAGUGCUGGGACAUAGUCAUGGGGCUGCAGAGUAUAGGUCCUUUGCUGUGUAGCUUACUUAGAAAAGUGUCCAACAGAAAAAACAUGGAAAGUAGAGAACAAAAUAGCCUCCAGAACAGAAGAAACGGACAAACCUACCCAAGUCCAUUUUCAAUGCAUUCUCACCUGGGAGGUAAGCUUUCCUCCUACCACUGACCAUGCCCUAUCUGGAAAAAAGAGCAGCAUUUCAUAGUCUAGGCUAGGGUCCAAGCUGUUCUUCCUACUCUACCUAACAAAAGCCAGUCAGGCAAAUUUGAAGGUGUGGUUAUCUCUUUCCAUGAUUUCAGAUCUCUUUCCAUGAUUUCAGAAUGGUGUUAAACUGCUCCUGUCUAUUUCUAAUCUACGGAUCUCAACAUUCUUGGGGUGUCUAAGAAAAUGUAAGAAACUCAUGUUCAAAAGAACUCACAUUUCACAGAAGAAAAAUUAGAUGCUUAGAAUCUCCCCUUUUUUUAAAAAAAGGCUAAACACAUACUGUACAUACAGUCUUGGCAAAAAAGCACCCCUCUUUGGAUUCUGUGGUUUUACAUAAUAGCAUAAUAACAAUCAGGUUCUUAGCAGGUUCUUAAAAUUAGGUAAAUACAACCUCAGAUGAACAACUUGACCGUCAUGAUUUAUUUAACAGAAAUAAAGCUGUCCCCAUGACUGCACACUCCCCUUGCAACAGAGAAAACCCCCAAUAAAUCCCCCCCUUAAAAAGGAGCUUAAUCCCUUCAACUAAACAACAAAAACAUGUAUAUUAGUAACUUCAUUUUAUUUUUAAAUUAAAUUGGAUGUUGUGGGCAUGGGGAGUUGGUUGGUGUUACACUGGGAUCCCAGCUAUCAUUUGAAGAGCCAGAUAUGGUCUUGAAGACAAAAAUAUCUGAAUGGUAAACUGCUGUUCCUUGCUGCUGAAUGGCUCUUUUGGUUGAUAUCUGCAUGGCUCCACCUGACUUGCUUUUAGGCCUGAAAUCCAGGCCCUAUUUGCCCAAUUCAAGGCUGCUAUUAUUAUUACUACCGUACUUCUACCACCACCAUUCAUCAGAAGGUCUGAGCACAGUUUACAACAAAUUAAAAACAGGUGAAACAGAUUAUAAUCACAAGAAUCACCACCCCUGAACUUUUGAGUGUGAUCUGUGUUCUCUCAAAUCUCAUAUUCAUAGCACUCUGGCUAGAUUUUUUUAAAAAGGAGGGGCCUAGAUUAGUACAGUACAGCGAAGGACUGUUGACACAACUCAACUUCACUUAAAUUUGCACAGCAAUUCUGCCUCACACUAUUUAAUACAAAAUGGUAAAUGGAAGCAACAUCUGCAAGGAGGUGGAAUGAAAACAUACCAAAAUGCAUGAGAUAUUGCGUAUUACUCCACUUGGCAUUACUACAGACUCGUGUUUACCCUGAAACAGAUGUGCAGAGGAAACUUUCUUCUUGAGUUUUUUUUAAAGGUGUUUUAAUAGAACUCUUGCUAUUAGAAGGUAACAGUUGGAAUACUGGCAGCUGCUCAAAAGCAGAAACAGAGAAACCCAGGACUAUUUUAUUGCAGUGAUUUAGCAGAGGCAUUUUCCACCCUCCCUUCAAAACAAGCAAAGGCAGUUCAUACUGAAAGGUCUUAAUGUGAGAAAAAUCUGCGCUGCAAAUGCUUCCUUCAGUAGAUUUUGUGGGUGAGUCCCGAGUGUGUUUCACAACAACCCUGCCAUGUAGGUGGCAAGUAUUGUUAUUCCUAACUUGCAAAAGGGGGUCAGAAAGAUCAGUUCUACUCAAAGGAAGACCCAUUGAAAUUAAUGAAGAAGGGGACCCACCAUAAUCUUUUAUUGUUUAAAAUUCCUACUGCAGAAUAUAUGCAUUCAGCUGUUUCCUAUUUUAGUUGAAAGGCACCUUGAGUCCCGCCAGGGGAAAAGGCGGGAAAUAAAUAAAUAAAUAAAUAAAU